rnacentral:rRNA from 1 species
AUUGAACGCUGGCGGCAGGCCUAACACAUGCAAGUCGAGCGGAUGAAGGGAGCUUGCUCCUGGAUUCAGCGGCGGACGGGUGAGUAAUGCCUAGGAAUCUGCCUGGUAGUGGGGGAUAACGUCCGGAAACGGGCGCUAAUACCGCAUACGUCCUGAGGGAGAAAGUGGGGGAUCUUCGGACCUCACGCUAUCAGAUGAGCCUAGGUCGGAUUAGCUAGUUGGUGGGGUAAAGGCCUACCAAGGCGACGGUCCGUAACUGGUUUGAGAGGAUGAACAGUCAACACGGGACAUGGAAACCGUCCCGGACUCUGUGGGGAGGACGAAGGGGGGAAUAUUGGACAAGGGGCGAAAGCCUGACCCAGCCAAGCGGCGGGUGGAAAAAAGUGCUUCGGAUUGUAAAGAACUUUAAGUUGGGGGGAGGGGAGGUAAGUUAAUACCUUGCUGUUUUGACUUUCCAAAGAGAAGAAGCACCGGCUAACUUCGG